rnacentral:rRNA from 1 species
CGGACGGGUGAGUAACGCGUGGAUAACCUGCCGUAUGCAGGGGGAUAACAGUUGGAAACAGCUGCUAAUACCGCAUAAGCGCACAGUACCGCAUGGUACGGUGUGAAAAGAUUUAUCGGCAUACGAUGGAUCCGCAUCCGAUUAGCCAGUUGGCGGGGUAACGGCCCACCAAAGCGACGAUCGGUAGCCGGCCUGAGAGGGCGGACGGCCACAUUGGGACUGAGACACGGCCCAAACUCCUACGGAAGGCAGCAG